AGGCAGUGUAGUUUUAGCUGG
rnacentral:miRNA from 1 species